rnacentral:lncRNA from 1 species
ACACAUCUAACCACUCUUCAGCUGAUAUCCACUUGCUGACAAAUGAAUCUCUCUGGCCCCUGGACUGUGCCCUGAAACACAGCUUAAAACAGCAGAAUGAACAGUAAUCCCAGAGAUCCUGAGAUGAGAAAAGGGUGUUUGACUUAUUCAAAGAAGACCAAGGAAGCCCAAAGACCAGAGAAGAGUGCAGGAAAGGGGCGGCGGUCUGAGAUGCAGUCAGAGCAGUGGCAAGCCCCCAGAGUCUGUGGCAAAGACUUCAGGUUUCAUCCUGAAGAGGAAGACAGGUCUUUGGAGAGUUUUGAUCAAGGAAGUGAGAUGAAAUAUCUUAGGCUUACAAAGAACUACUCUGACAUCUAAAUGGAAAAUGGACUGAUGAAGCAAAAGAAGCCACAAGGAAGCCAGUUCAGAGGCUAUUGAAAUGCUCCAGAGGAACAGCGGUUUAUUGAAAGGAAAGCAAAUGUCCAGAAGCAAAAACAAACAAACAAAAAACAAACAAACAAACAAAAACAGAAAAAACUUCCCCAAAAGUAAAGAAUCACAGCUUUAUUCAGUAGCUCCUCAAUUAAAAUAGUCAUCUUCUUAAUUGUGCCAUCUUCAGAAGCAGCCAUAUAUACUGUAGUUAAGAGGCACAUGGUGAGAAAUUUGGGGUCCAAUCAAGAUGAUAGGAUUCAUCUACAUGGCAGCCCUCAAAGAUUCUGGAAGAGAAAAAUGGUGAAAAGAUACUCAGAGAGUGAGAGCCUUCAGAUUUGGGUGAGUGAUGCCAUUAGAACCAAGAUUUCUUCCAUUCUUCUGCUCUAUCAUUCUCAGCACAACAUGCUUUUCUCAUUAAGGCCGCUGUGGUUCGUCUUCUGCCUGGGAACUGGAUAAAAACAUCAGUGAAUACCCCAAAGAUUUUCAAAAAUGCUUGUUGAUAAAAUGAAGUCAGAAUGUGAGAUGAGCCCUAUAUUAGGUAUUGAGGGUUCAGGGAUGAACUAAGCUGAUCUGGUUCCUGCUCUCUAGGCUGUAGAAGAUGGCAAGUGCUGUGGACUUCAAAGAAAAGAUUUCUGAAGUGUCAUGUUAUGACAAUUGUGAUGCUUCAAACUAUGUUGACUAUUCAUUUACAGCAUAAAGAAGAGUGAGCCACUUUAUCACUGCAGUAAUUAUAUUUUAAAAAUAAAGAAAAUAAAACAAAUGGAGUUUCCCACCCAAUCCAUGGAGACACAGACACGAAGUCUUACUAUAGAUGUGUGGCCAAUCCUUACAUUGCUUUUAUUACAAGCCUGGAAAUGACAAUAAAAUACAUGAACUUGAGAGUAUAUA